AGCCGCCCAGAGUGGCUGGGGAAACUCAGCCAGAUGGGCAGGGUAUAAAUAAUAAAUUAUUAUUAUAUUAUAACCACUGCCAUCUCCUCUCAGGAUCCAGUUUAUAGAAAUACUGAUUUUAUGUUUUAUUCUGUAUACAUAAAAGUAAGCUGUUUUGUAAUUUACUCUUGUUUACUUUGACAAAUGGAAAAUUGGUUAAAUAAACAAACAAACAACAAUAUGUGAUUUAGGUAGUUUCCAGGAAAGGAGGAAGUUUAUAAAUAACUCCAACCUAGUGUUUCAUUACUGAGCUGCCCUUUCCUCCUCCUCUCACCUAGUGGUCUAAAAUAGAAAAUACCCAUUUUUCCUAUUGUUACAGUGUAACUUCCUGCAAAUGAAGAAGAAGAAUACUUGUAAGAUUUUCCAUGUUGUAUUAAUCUAGGCAGACACCGUGGGAGCUGUCUGGAUAAUGUGGUUCGUUGCAAUUCUAGUUCCAGACAGAAAUGCAGCACUCCCAAAAGAAAUAACCACAUGACCUAAAGUACUGUCACUGCUCCAUGAUCUAUUCUAAACUAAUGUGCUUGUUGCAUAUGUUACUACUGUGGUGCAGGUCUCUAUGAAGAAAUCACCUUUUAAAAUAUGUUUACAAGAUGAGACUUGUUUUAUAGGUGCAAUGUGGGGGGGGCAUGCAAGGUUUAAAUUUUAAAAGUGUCCAUCCCAUUUGAUUAUCCAGUUAUGUAAGUACCUAAAGUUGGUCUUGGGAAUGCAGUAGUUUUAUAUACUGUGAGAGAGAAUUGUAAAAUUAACCUUACGAUUGGCUUACUGGGCAGAAACUCUGGGUUACUCACUGGAUGGGAAAAGUGGGAAGUCUACAUCAUGCAAAUCCACUUGGCUGAAGGCAAGGUGGCUGAGACAUAAAUAAGUCUAUUCUACUACUGUUGAGUAACAGCAGAGACUGCUGACCAGAGGAGGAAGGCUUGCUAAGAAGAAAAAUCUGAUGGAGAAGCCGGAUGUCUGGAAGCAGGUGGGAGACAGGCAGGAGGCUAUUCAGGCUGGAUAUAUAUUAUGCCCCCAAAGAGCUGAAUCACUGGCUUAAGCUGGAGAUCCAGCAGUGAGGAAAAUUCAGAAAGGAGCUUCUGGAGCUGCCCGGAGAAUUGCCUUGAAAGCCUUUCUCAAAUGAAACCAGCUGAAGUCUGCAGUUCCUGCUGGUGAGAUUGGGGAAGAGGGACUAAGGCAAAAGCAUCAAAAUUGGAGAACAAUAAUAUUUAAAAUUCAACCAUUAACAUGAACUUCAAACAAAAGCACAUUUUGAAAAAUGCAAAACAACAAAGCAGCUGUAAAAGCAGAGAGAUGGCAAGAAUAAAAAGAUUUAUUAAAACCUGGGAGAAUAAAUCGUUUUCAGCAGAAACCGUAUGUAUGCCUGUUGGUUAGCAACAGAAGAGUGGCAGGAUCUGUCCAUCUGCGGUCAUGGAGAUUUAAACCAUAAAGCAUUCUAUAAGAAUUUA